UAAACAUAAAACUUAACCAGGCAACGCCGACGCAGACGCCGACGCCGAUCAAAUGAUGACAAUAACUCAUCUUUUUUUUCCCAAAAAAUCAGAUGAGCUAAAAAAUGAAUGUUUUUAUAGUCCGUUACUCAAAUAACACGAGAAACCCAUUUCAUUAUCUAUGGCAUUUUAUGGUUUCGCAAUUUUUGAGAGAUCAGUAUUUCUGCAAUUUGCAAUACUAUUCGCUACAACGCAUUUUUUUUUAUUAAAUUCUAACAUUCGGAAUAAAACAAUAGUUGACUUUAAUAGUUGUCGAAGAGAAAAUACGUUAUAUACUAAUAAGAAAGCAGGUAGUUAAUGCUUUGAAAAAUGAAAGUAAAGGAUAAUAUAUGGAUUGACUGUGCAUCAUAAAUAUGGGAUUAAAUAUUAGGAAAAUGCUUCUCAAUUCAAUUGAGUGUAUCAAGCUCGAGUUAGCGCGAAACUAGGAUUCUAUGUAAAACACCUUUGAAUUAUUCAGCUAUUCAGAAUGUCAAACAAUUUGUAUGUAAAAGUGAAACAGACAAGUAAAACUAUUGAAAUUGUAUUAUAUUAAACACAUUGGGGACUACUUAGCCCGGUGUCAGGGAAGGGGUAUCAUGUCACGUGUCUACGGCGUGAUGUGUUCGAGUCAGGCAGCUAUAUAUGGAAUUGGGCAUUGCGCUUAUUUAUAUGACUGAAAAUUGUUGAUAAAGACGCAAAACUCAAAGGUUCAAAUAAAAUCUGUGAAAAGAUCCUUGAAAGCAUAGAAUACAUUUUUCCAUUUUUAACUGCCCGAACAACAAAACCAACGGAGAACUAUAUGAAUGUUCUGAUCCCGAAAUUCCUCAGAAAUUAUAAAUGGCAAUUAUACAAAUUAACAUAAAUUCCUGCAUUGUUUCAUGUUCACAACACAUGAAGUGCCCUUUACUGGUAUAAUACCAGUAAUAUAGGAUGAUAAUAUCAUUUAUUAUCCGCAGUGCGCUUGUCUUGCAUCUUCUUUUGUUUAGGACACAUCCCACAUUUUAGGGCUAUUCGGACAGAGAAGUGUUUCUUUUUCACACUGGUCGACAAAGGAUUUUAUAGAAUCAGUGUAAAAUUAUUUUUAAAAUAAGGGAGUAAAAGCAAGUUUGAGUAACAGAGGACAUACAUUGAAAAGAUCUGGACAAAAUGAAGUCACUCCAAAUAACACUGAUUUUUAUUUCGCUGGCAAUCUUUAUUUUCGUUAUAGAAGUUCAAGGUCAACUAUGUAAUCAAAGAACAUGUACAGAUAGGAAACCCUUUAUCAAAGGAAAAGGACAGUGCGCAAGGAGCAGACCAAAUAUGCGUUGUGUCAGGAUAGGCCGAACCUGUCGUUGCAAGUCCAGCUUAAUUCUAAACGCAAGUCCUCCAGUUCAAAACAAACAACCGGUUGAUGAACUCAAAGCUACACUUGAUGUUUCUCUUACCAUACAGAGUAAUGGAAAUACCAUGGACAAUGUUAAUAUAAAUGACACUUACUCAGAGUAUUGAGUGAUUCAACGUUAUGUUGAAAUAAUUAUUUACGGCAACUGUCGCGGAUAUAUUUUCACAAAUGUGAUGAAUUAAUGUUUCAGAAGUUUUCAGAACCAAAAUGCUACUUUUCAUUUGUUUUAUAAUUUAUAAAAUUUAAAUGCAUUCUAACAAGUCCAAAUGUGUAACGAAUUUAACAGUGUUGGCAUAAAUAUUUUUUUUUGUUAUUUCUGUUAAUGUUUACGCAUUCGUGGUUAAAGUAAUAAUUAUAUAACUGAUGAGAUAGCUAUCAUAUCCUCCGGUUUGAAAAACGUCGUCAGGAAAACUGUUUUUAUUUAGUGGCAAGCAGCACAUCUCAACGUUUAAUGUGAUUUCUGGUGAGCAGCAAAAUAUAUAGAAGAAAUGUAAAAGAAGUUUCGAAUAUUACAAUGUAGUGUAACCCGUAAACUAACACCUAUGUUUACGUUACAAAAUAUUAAUACUGUUAAUAUUAUGUGAAUAAAUAGGUAUCAGUCUAUUAAAAUGCUUGUAUUGAUGUUUCAAAA
rnacentral:lncRNA from 1 species